rnacentral:rRNA from 1 species
AAUACCGCAUACGUCCUACGGGAGAAAGCAGGGGACCUUCGGGCCUUGCGCUAUCAGAUGAGCCUAGGUCGGAUUAGCUGGUUGGUGAGGUAAUGGCUCACCAAGGCUACGAUCCGUAACUGGUCUGAGAGGAGGAUCAGUCACACUGGAACUGAGACACGGUCCAGCCUCCUACGGGAGGCAGCAGUGGGGGAUAUUGGACAAUGGGCGAAAGCCUGAUCCAAAGGUGCCGCGUGUGUGAAGAAGGUCUUCGGA